rnacentral:rRNA from 1 species
AUUGAACGCUGGCGGCAUGCCUUACACAUGCAAGUCGAACGGUAACAGGUUAAGCUGACGAGUGGCGAACGGGUGAGUAAUGUAUCGGAACGUGCCCAGUCGUGGGGGAUAACUGCUCGAAAGAGCAGCUAAUACCGCAUACGACCUGAGGGUGAAAGCGGGGGAUCGCAAGACCUCGCGCGAUUGGAGCGGCCGAUAUCAGAUUAGGUAGUUGGUGAGGUAAAGGCUCACCAAGCCGACGAUCUGUAGCUGGUCUGAGAGGACGACCAGCCACACUGGGACUGAGACACGGCCCAGACGCCUACGGGAGGCAGCAGUGGGGAAUGUUGGACAAUGGGCGCAAGCCUGAUCCAGCCAUGCCGCGUGCGGGAAGAAGGCCUUCGGGUUGUAAACCGCUUUUGUCAGGGAAGAAAAGGUUCUGGCUAAUACCUGGGACUCAUGACGGUACCUGAAGAAUAAGCACCGGCUAACUACGUG